rnacentral:rRNA from 1 species
CCUGCGGAGGGAUCAUUACACAACAAAAUAUGAAGGCCUGGCUUUCCGGCUGGCUGAAAUAUUUUUUUCCACCCAUGUCUUUUGCGCACUUGUUGUUUCCUGGGCGGGUUCGCCCGCCACCAGGACCAAACCAUAAACCUUUUUUUUUUAUGCAGUUGCAAUCAGCGUCAGUAAAAACAAUGUAAUUAUUACAACUUUCAACAACGGAUCUCUUGGUUCUGGCAUCGAUGAAGAACGCAGCGAAAUGCGAUACGUAGUGUGAAUUGCAGAAUUCAGUGAAUCAUCGAAUCUUUGAACGCACAUUGCGCCCUUUGGUAUUCCAAAGGGCAUGCCUGUUCGAGCGUCAUUUGUACCUUCAAGCUUUGCUUGGUGUUGGGCGUUUUGUCUCUCUCUUUCUGGGAGACUCGCCUCAAAACGAUUGGCAGCCGGCCUACUGGUCUCGGAGCGCAGCACAUAUUUUGCGCUUUGUAUCAGGAGAAAAGGACGGUGAUCCAUCAAGACUCAUCAUUUCAACUUUUGACCUCGGAUCAGGUAGGGAUACCCGCUGAAC